CUUGGGCUAAUACCGGAUACGUGCGAGAGCAGAAAGAUUUAUCGCUGAAGGAUCGGCCCGCGUCUGAUUAGCUAGUUGGUGAGGUAAUGGCUCACCAAGGCGACGAUCAGUAGCUGGUCUGAGAGGAUGAUCAGCCACAUUGGGACUGAGACACGGCCCAAACUCCUACGGGAGGCAGCAGUGGGGAAUAUUGGACAAUGGGCGCAAGCCUGAUCCAGCCAUGCCGCGUGAGUGAUGAAGGCCUUAGGGUUGUAAAGCUCUUUCGUCCGGGACGAUAAUGACGGUACCGGAAGAAGAAGCCCCGGCUAACUUCGUGCCAGCAGCCGCGGUAAUACGAAGGGGGCUAGCGUUGUUCGGAAUCACUGGGCGUAAAGGGCGCGUAGGCGGCUUUAUAAGUCGGGGGUGAAAGCCUGUGGCUCAACCACAGAAUUGCCUUCGAUACUGUAGAGCUUGAGACCGGAAGAGGUAAGUGGAACUGCGAGUGUAGAGG
rnacentral:rRNA from 1 species